ACUCUCUCCCUGAGCCUUAGAACCAGGAGGAUUCUCACUGCUUCUAUGUCACAAUUCCGUCUCUAGAGCCUUUGAGGUCACUCCUGACGCUGACAUGGCUGUGAAGAGCUGGGUGCCAGGCAUUACUGCCUCCAAGGUUGCUUUGCGAGGAAUAGGUGGGGCAUCAGGAAGAAGCCAGUUGCAGGCAAGGCCUCUGCUGAUGCUGCUUUUUUCUCCUGUACCCAUCCAUGGGAGGGAGCUGUGAGAUGGCCUGGCAGAACCCGCUCUUGGACCCCACAGAAUGAGAGGCUCACCCUGCACAGGAACAUCCUGGGGCAGCAGGCUCAGCACAUUUUAAAUUUUGAGUAUGAACAAAGUAAACUUCAG
rnacentral:lncRNA from 1 species